rnacentral:lncRNA from 1 species
CACUACUGCCCUCCCGGUACUGCUUCUGCAACUCAGUUCCCAUGUCUUCAGGGGACUUACAACCCACAGCCUGGAAGCAGCCUGAUGUCUCACUGCACCCCCUGUGACCCAGGUAACCAGCAAAUAAGCAUCUCUCAGGCUGAGGACGGGAGAAUGUAUGAAAAUGUGUCUUGAACAUUCCUGACCUUCAGCAGAUGAACUGUGUAAGGACAUAGCCUGUUCUCUGAAGUAUGUUUCUGCUUUUUUCUGCUGGUACUAAUGUCAUUGGAUUGUUUCCUCAGGGCAUUACUGUGUGCUUGCAGGGCAGCCCACGCGUUACAGGACCCUGUUUGUCUGGGUUCUACUGCAGCGGAGGUGUUUCUAGUCCCACACCUGCAGAUGGUCUUCUGGGGAAUGCGUACCCCAAGGGAAAUUACUGUCCUCUGGGCUCUGCCUUUCCACAGCCGUGUCCGCCUGGUUAUUAUAGCAACUCAACUGGGAAUACUGGGAUUGGGGACUGUCUCCUAUGUGAUGCAGGGUACUUCUGCAAUGGGACUGGACUUGUGUCUCCAACUGGAUUAUGUGAGGCUGAAUUCUACUGUAGUGGAGGAGCCAUUUCUUCUAAACCUCCCAGGACAACGGUCAGUGGAGGACCGUGUACACCUGAACACUACUGUGUUGUGGGGAGCACCAGAGCCCGGCUGUGCCCUGCAGGGAGUUACAGCCCAUCUUGGAGCAUGGCACAGUGUCUGGAGUGCCCAGAGGGCUUUUACUGCACAGUGGCUUCCACAAACUACACGGAUUGCCCUGCAGGUAGGUCUGAUGGCACCUACCCACUCAUUCUGGGAAAUUGUGUUUAAGAGAUGAGCAGAUACCCUUGCGGCUUUUUGGAGUAGAUUUAUCGUUGGACUGGGUUGCACGA